UCCUAUUGAUUCUCCACUACUUUAUUUAUCAAAAUCAAGCUUCUUACAUCACGAUUCUUCCUGGUUUGAUUAGAAUGACAAAGAAGUUGUCAUAUUUCCAAACAGGAAAACUGGGAUCACCUGAUUUGAAAGUGUGAUAGCUUCUUUAUCCUAACUCUUAUGAGAUUUAUUCAACUUCCUGGUAAUUCUCCAGUACUUUAUGGAUUGAGGUUUGUGUGUUCAGUUGUGGACUAACCUUUUGUUUGUGUUGGUAACUCCUAAGGGUACA
rnacentral:lncRNA from 1 species